rnacentral:rRNA from 1 species
GGGGAAUAUUGGGCAAUGGGCGAAAGCCUGACCCAGCGACGCCGCGUGGGUGAUGAAGGCCUUCGGGUUGUAAAACCCUUUCGUGCGGAAAGAAUAGUCCUGUAGCGAAUAACUACGGGAUUUGACGGUACCGCAGGAAGAAGCACCGGCUAACUCCGUGCCAGCAGCCGCGGUAAUACGGAGGGUGCAAGCGUUGUUCAGAAUUAUUGGGCGUAAAGGGCGCGUAGGUGGUUGUGAUAGUCAGAUGUGAAAUCCUUCGGCUCAACCGAAGAACUGCAUCUGAAACUUCAUAGCUCGAGUACAGGAGAGGGAAACGGAAUUCCCGGUGUAGAGGUGAAAUUAGUAGAUAUCGGGAGGAACACCAGUGGCGAAGGCGGUUUCCUGGCCUGAUACUGACGCUGAGGCGCGAAAGCGUGGGGAGCAAACAG